rfam:Desulfosporosinus sp. Tol-M Desulfosporosinus_sp._Tol-M_contig_740, whole genome shotgun sequence.
UACUGAUGAUGGCAAACCUGUUGAAAAGCAGGGACGCAAAGCUAGAGGGCCUGUAAAAUGGCAGCCAGCUACCAAA